GACGGGGGAUGCAAGUGUUAUCCGGAAUCACUGGGCGUAAAGCGUCUGCAGGUGGUUUCCUAAGUCCACUGUUAAACCUUGAGGCUCAACCUCAAAUCUGCAUUGGAAACUAGGAGACUUGAGUAUAGUAGGGGUAGAGGGAAUUUCCAGUGGAGCGGUGAAAUGCGUAGAUAUUGGAAAGAACACUGAUGGCGAAGGCACUCUACUGGGCUAUUACUGACACUCAGAGACGAAAGCUAGGGGAGCAAAUGGG
rnacentral:rRNA from 1 species